rnacentral:rRNA from 1 species
CCUACGGGUGGCAGCAGUGAGGAAUAUUGGUCAAUGGACGGAAGUCUGAACCAGCCAUGCCGCGUGCAGGAUGACUGCUCUAUGAGUUGUAAACUUCUUUUGUAUUAGAGUAAACACCUCUACGUGUAGGGUCUUGUAUGUAUAAUAUGAAUAAGGAUCGGCUAACUCCGUGCCAGCAGCCGCGGUAAUACGGAGGAUCCAAGCGUUAUCCGGAUUUAUUGGGUUUAAAGGGUGCGUAGGCGGUUUGAUAAGUUAGAGGUGAAAUAUCGGUGCUCAACACCGGAAUUGCAGCUAAUACUGUUGAACUAGAGAGUAGUUGCGGUAGGCGGAAUGUAUGGUGUAGCGGUGAAAUGCUUAGAGAUCAUACAGAACACCGAUUGCGAAGGCAGCUUACCAAACUAUAACUGACGUUGAGGCACGAAAGCGUGGGUAGCAAACAGGAUUAGAUACCCGUGUAGUC